GCCAGUGUGGUGGAGUGGUUUGAGUGUUGGACUGUGACUCUGGAGACCAGGGUUCAAAUCCCUGCUCAGCCA
rnacentral:tRNA from 1 species